UGGGGAAUUUUGCGCAAUGGGGGAAACCCUGACGCAGCAACGCCGCGUGAGUGAUGAAGGCUUUCGGGUCGUAAAGCUCUGUCUAGAGGGAAGAAAUGAUAUUCGGUUAAUACCCGGAUUUCUUGACGGUACCUCUGAAGGAAGCACCGGCUAACUCCGUGCCAGCAGCCGCGGUAAUACGGAGGGUGCAAGCGUUGUUCGGAUUUAUUGGGCGUAAAGCGCGUGUAGGCGGUUUGUUAAGUCUGAUGUGAAAGCCCUGGGCUCAACCUGGGAAGUGCAUUGGAAACUGGCAGACUUGAAUACGGGAGAGGGUAGUGGAAUUCCUAGUGUAGGAGUGAAAUCCGUAGAUAUUAGGAGGAACACCGGUGGCGAAGGCGGCCACCUGGCCGGCAACUGACGCUGAGGUGCGAAAGCGUGGGGAUCAAACA
rnacentral:rRNA from 1 species